rnacentral:rRNA from 1 species
GCUUGUCUCAAAGAUUAAGCCAUGCAUGUCUAAGUAUAAACUGCUUAUACUGUGAAACUGCGAAUGGCUCAUUAAAUCAGUUAUAGUUUAUUUGAUGGUACCUACUACUCGGAUAACCGUAGUAAUUCUAGAGCUAAUACGUGCGCACAACCCGACUUCUGGAAGGGUCGUAUUUAUUAGAUAAAAGGCCAGCCGGGCUUUGCCCGACCUGCGGUGAAUCAUGAUAACUUCACGAAUCGUAUGGCCUUGUGCCGACGAUGUUUCAUUCAAAUUUCUGCCCUAUCAACUUUCGAUGGUAAGGUAUUGGCCUACCAUGGUUACCACGGGUAACGGGGAAUUAGGGUUCGGUUCCGGAGAGGGGGCCUGAGAAAUGGCCACCACAUCCAAGGAAGGCAGCAGG